rnacentral:rRNA from 1 species
AAUGCGGGACUCUAAGAGGCCCCGUAAUUGGAAUGAGUACACCUUAAAUCGUUUAACGAGUAUCAAUUGGAGGGCAAGUCUGGUGCCAGCAGCCGCGGUAAUUCCAGCUCCAAUAGCGUAUAUUAAAGUUGCUGCAGUUAAAAAGCUCGUAGUUGGAUCUGGGGCUUGAGGUCGCUGUCUAUCGUUUCGGCGAUGACGGUGAUGCUCAGCUCUGCUUGCCGGUGACUGUUGCGGUGUUCUUCACUGAGCGCUGUAGCAGCACGGCACGUUUACUUUGAAGAAAUUAGAGUGCUCAAAGCGUGCUUGUCGCUUGAAUAAUGUUGCAUGGAAUAAUGGAAUAGGACCUCGGUUCUAUUUUGUUGGUUUUCGGAGCUUGAGGUAAUGAUUAAGAGGGACGAACGGGGGCAUUCGUAUUGCGGUGUUAGAGGUGAAAUUCUUGGAUCGCCGCAAGACGGACUACUGCGAAAGCAUUUGCCAAGAACGCUUUCAUUAAUUAAGAACGAAAGUCAGAGGUUCGAAGACGAUCAGACACCGUCCUAGUUCUGACCAUAAACGAUGCCGACCAGCGAUCCGUAGUGGUUGCUUUAUGGACCCUACGGGCAGCCUCCGGGAAACCAAAGUAUUUGGGUUCCGGGGGAAGUAUGGUUGCAAAGCUGAAACUUAAAGGAAUUGACGGAAGGGCACACCCGGAGUGGAGCCUGCGGCUUAAUUUGACCCAACACGGGAAAACUCACCCGGUCCGGACACCGUAAGGAUUGACAGACUGAUAGCUCUUUCUUGAUUCGGUGGAUGGUGGUGCAUGGCCGUUCUUAGUUGGUGGAGUGAUUUGUCUGGUUAAUUCCGAUAACGAACGAGACUCUAGCCUGCUAAUUAGUGUUGCUAUUGUUAUAUGGUUGACACUUCUUAGAGGGACAAGUGGCAUUUAGCCACGCGAAAUUGAGCAAUAACAGGUCUGUGAUGCCCUUAGAUGUCCGGGGCCGCACGCGCGCUACACUGGAGAAGUCAGCGUGUGUUAUCCAAGUCCGAAAGGACUGGGUAAUCCGUUGAACCUUCUUCGUGCUUGGGACUGUGGCUUGGAACUAUUCCACAUGAACGAGGUAUUCCUAGUAAUUGCAAGUCAUAAGCUUGCGUUGAUUACGUCCCUGCCCUUUGUACACACCGCCCGUCGCUACUACCGAUUGAAUGGUUUAGCAAGGUCCUCGGAUCGUGGCCGUAGGGGCACGCAAGUGUUUCUGCGGUUUGCGAGAAGACGACCAAACUUGAUCAUUUAGA